CUGGCGGAAUGCUUUACACAUGCAAGUCGAACGGCAGCACGGACUUCGGUCUGGUGGCGAGUGGCGAACGGGUGAGUAAUAUAUCGGAACGUAUCCAAUAAUGGGGGAUAACUAAUCGAAAGGUUGGCUAAUACCGCAUACGCCCUACGGGGGAAAGCUAGGGAUCUUCGGACCUGGCGUUAAUGGAGCGGCCGAUAUCUGAUUAGCUAGUUGGUGGGGUAAAGGCCCACCAAGGCGACGAUCAGUAGCUGGUCUGAGAGGACGACCAGCCACACUGGAACUGAGACACGGUCCAGACUCCUACGGGAGGCAGCAGUGGGGAAUUUUGGACAAUGGGCGCAAGCCUGAUCCAGCCAUUCCGCGUGAGUGAAGAAGGCCUUUGGGUUGUAAAGCUCUUCCGCAAGGGAAGAAAACUUAGCCACUAACAUUGGUUGAGGUUGACGGUACCUUGAUAAGAAGCACCGGCUAACUACGUGCCAGCAGCCGCGGUAAUACGUAGGGUGCGAGCGUUAAUCGGAAUUACUGGGCGUAAAGCGUGCGCAGGCGGUUUUGUAAGUCAGAUGUGAAAUCCCCGAGCUCAACUUGGGAACUGCGUUUGAAACUACAAGACUAGAAUAUGUCAGAGGGGGGUAGAAUUCCACGUGUAGCAGUGAAAUGCGUAGAGAUGUGGAGGAAUACCAAUGGCGAAGGCAGCCCCCUGGGAUAAUAUUGACGCUCAUGCACGAAAGCGUGGGGAGCAAACAGGAUUAGAUACCCUGGUAGUCC
rnacentral:rRNA from 1 species